AAAAUAGAAAAAAGCUGCUGCAGCCCUCGUCCCCGCCGGAAAUCGCCUCCGAUUUUCGUUUGGCCAUAUCUUCCUCCUCCGGCCACCGAUCCUCACCAAACUUCUUCCAUUGGCUUCGUAUGGUCCUUGCGCACCUGUCUGUGGCAGCCUUGCACGGCGGCACGGCCCCUAGCGGCGGCGGCGGCCCGGUUUCGAUUUAAGCUCGAUUUUGGUCAACGCCGGUUUUCUCCUAGCUCCGGCCACCAAAACUUCCGAUCCUUGGCUCCAUGAACUCCCCUCAACCUGCUGAUCAUCAUACUAGGAGGAUUGCACCUAGAGUGACCGGUUUCACGUUCGUCGGAGCUCGUGAGUUCUCCUUGAUGUUCUUAACAACUCUCUAGAAGGGAUCGAAGCCUGAAAUUGAAGUUUUGACGUCGAAAUCAAGCCUUGCCGGAUUCUGCAAAUUUCGCCGGAUUCUGGAAAUUUUCCGGCCACCUCGACUGUUUUAGGUGAUUGACGGUCUUCCUUGGGUGAGCGGUUUUGGUGUGUAUUGUGUUGAAUUGAAGACGCAGCGGGAAUAUCGAGCGGGUAAUCCUACAGGUCAAGAGAAUCAGGACGGAGAUCGAGCUGCGUAGAGUAGCUGCAAUUGUGUCAAUCUGAAUUGCUUUGUGAGCCGGUGAGGUGUGUUAUGCUCAUUUAGAGCUUUACAAUAUUUCUUGUGAGAGUGAAUUGUAAUAAUGAACUCGAGGUUUCGAAAUUUGAAGUUUGUGUAUCGUGUGGUGAGGUUGUUUUGAGAAAAAAAUUCAGAACGUUUAUUUGAUUAAGUGGUUUAAUUCAUGUUUCGGAUUUGAACUUAUUAUUCAAAAUUCGGGGCGU